GAUGAACGCUGGCGGCGUGCCUAAUACAUGCAAGUCGAGCGAACGGACGAGAAGCUUGCUUUUCUGAUGUUAGCGGCGGACGGGUGAGUAACACGUGGAUAACCUACCUAUAAGACUGGGAUAACUUCGGGAAACCGGAGCUAAUACCGGAUAAUAUUUUGAACCGCAUGGUUCAUAAGUGAAAGACGGUCUUGCUGUCACUUAUAGAUGGAUCCGCGCUGCAUUAGCUAGUUGGUAAGGUAACGGCUUACCAAGGCAACGAUGCAUAGCCGACCUGAGAGGGUGAUCGGCCACACUGGAACGGAGACACGGUCCAGACUCCUACGGGAGGCAGCAGUAGGGAAUCUUCCGCAAUGGGCGAAAGCCUGACGGAGCAACGCCGCGUGAGUGAUGAAGGUCUUCGGAUCGUAAAACUCUGUUAUUAGGGAAGAACAUAUGUGUAAGUAACUGUGCACAUCUUGACGGUACCUAAUCAGAAAGCCACGGCUAACUACGUG
rnacentral:rRNA from 1 species